rnacentral:rRNA from 1 species
UACAGGGGGUGCAAACGUUAUCCGGAGUUACUGGGCGUAAAGGGCGUGUAGGCGGUUUGUUAAGUCUGGCGUGAAAGCUCUCGGCUAAACCGGGAGAGGUCGUUGGAUACUGGCGAACUAGAGGAUGGUAGAGGCGUGUGGAAUUCCGGGUGUAGUGGUGAAAUGCGUAGAGAUCCGGAGGAGCACCAGUGGCGAAGGCGACACGCUGGGUCAUACCUGACGCUAAAGCGCGACAGCAUGGGGAGCAAACGGG